AUCACAAGCCCAGCCCAGCUACACUUGCCUGUUUCGGUUUGCAUCUGUCUCUCUGCAGAGUGUGGAGACGACGAGGCAGCCACGCCGGCCGGAUCACCACCGCCACCGCGCCGCGCCAACCCUUGUACAGCCAGCCGGGCUCCCUCGCGCCGGCGGCACAGCGAUUCUCCCGAACUCAUCACCACCCCACUCCGGCCGGCCGGCCGCCCGUCCGCCCAUGGCCGUGGCGACCACCGGCAUCAGCAGGGCAAGCACGGCGCGGCGAGUCCCGCUUCAUCCUGCGCUGCGACAUAUCAGCCUCGCCCUCACCUUCCGCAUACCCCCUCCGCCUCUCGAGGAGCGAGGUGAAUAAGAGGCUCAUUAACGUGGAUUGCCUUCAGUGCCGUCGACAAAUUGAAGGAGGAUUGCGAGAUGCUGGAACAUUUGUUUUGUUCCCUGCCUAGUUGUUGAAUUCUGCAGCUUCGAACCCCACACACAACCCAGAGUUGUCUUCCAGGUUGAAACUGAUUUGCCAUCAGAGUCUUGUUGUAUGUGUCUUCUCUUCAUUCUUAAUGUUUCGUGUCUGCUAACCUGUUCGGGAGAAUCAACAUCUCAUACUGGUUGAUUGCGGUCUACCAUGGAGGCUAUAUCACUUGAAAGCUGUAUUGAAUGUGUCGUUGGCAAAAUACGCCGACAUAAUCAGUAUCUCAGCACGACUUGUGUCUUUUACUGUCGUAUUUCUUAUGUGCAUCAGAGGAAAUGUGCUCUCUAGGCAUGUCGGGCCGUACCGAGUCCAAGACUUAAUGAAUAUAAUAUCGUCCUGUCCAGUGAUCAAUACAAAGGACACUUGAAUUCGGUUUCUAAUGUCACUUUUUUUACCAUUCCAAACUUUAUCUGUGUUGAAAGGAAUCUAUGUGGUAACUUCUGCAUGUCUAUUUCACAUUCCUUGAUCUAAUUUCUAAAUUACUAGCUACCAGGCAGCCUUUUAUAUGAUAUCGAGCUGCCGACUCCACGUUAUCUUUGAUAUAGUUUGCAAUGUUUAGUAUUGUGAUAAUGUGUGGGAAGCUAAAGAAGCUGUUGUAUUGAUUGGAAGAUGGAAAGUGUGAACCAAAUCAACCAGUUGAUGUGAUGAUGUCUCGGUCAGCAUUUAGUAAUCAUGAUCAGCAAAUUUUUUUUACUUAACUACUGCAUAUAAAGCUCACAUGUUAUGAUCAAUCGUCAGUUUCAGCUUUAUUAAAUAUUGAAAUUGCUAGUUCCAUACUAACUUUGAUAGUCGAGAAAUUGGGACAGGUGUUGCCAGUAGUUAGUGAGCAUACUAACUUUGAUGAGCUACACUUGUCCUUACUAGUGUUUCACCAAAGAGUCAUCCGUAUUCAAGAGUGCCUUAAAAUCCACCGUGUCUUUACAUUUAAGACAGCGAAUGGGGAAUCAUCCAAGAUAAUUUUCAGAGAGGGAGAUGACCUCCGCCAAGAGCAGCUGUCAACUUAACAUCUGCUGCACAAGACACAUAGCUUCAGUUUGUGAUGUGUAAAGAUUACCUACCAUGGAGGGAAUCCGACAUUCAGGGUACAUGGUUAGGGUGAUCUCUGCUGCGAUCUCCUGUGUUCAUUUGGAGGAGGCGGCUGAUUAAUAGCUAUUAUUCCGAUCGCUUAAAACUGACGUAACUGUUAGGAAUAUGCAACUUGUAUUCCCAUGAGGCCAUAGGCCGAUAUAUAUAUAUAUAUACAUGUACAGGUGUGGAACAUAUGCAGGAAACCCCUUAUACAACGGGAUAAA